UAGGGAAUAUUGGUCAAUGGGUGAGAGCCUGAACCAGCCAUGCCGCGUGCAGGAAGAAGGCGUUAUGCGUUGUAAACUGCUUUUUGCCAGGGGAUAAAAAGACCGUGCGCGGUUAAUUGAAGGUACCUGGUGAAUAAGCCACGGCUAACUACGUGCCAGCAGCCGCGGUAAUACGUAGGUGGCAAGCGUUGUCCGGAUUUAUUGGGUUUAAAGGGUGCGUAGGCGGCCCCGUAAGUCAGUGGUGAAAUAUCUCAGCUUAACUGAGAGGGUGCCAUUGAUACUGCGGGGCUUGAGUACAGAUGAGGUAGGCGGAAUUGACGGUGUAGCGGUGAAAUGCAUAGAUAUCGUCAAGAACACCGAUAGCGAAGGCAGCUUACCAAGCUGUAACUGACGCUGAGGCACGAAAGUGUGGGGAUCAAACAGGAUUAGAUACCCGGGUAGUCCCUGAGCGGGCUGGCAAGGCG
rnacentral:rRNA from 1 species